rnacentral:rRNA from 1 species
AUCCUGGCUCAGGAUGAACGCUAGCGGCAGGCUUAACACAUGCAAGUCGAGGGGCAUCGGGAGUAGCAAUACUGCCGGCGACCGGCGCAAGGGUGCGUAACGCGUGAGCAACAUGCCCGUAUCAGGGGGAUAAUCCAUGGAAACGUGGUCUAAUACCCCAUAGUAAUUAUGUAAGGCAUCUUAUAUAAUUUAAAGCUUUGGUGGAUACGGAUUGGCUCGCGUGACAUUAGCUGGAUGGUAAGGUAACGGCUUACCAUGGCUACGAUGUCUAGGGGUUCUGAGAGGAAGGUCCCCCCACACUGGAACUGAGACACGGUCCAGACUCCUACGGGAGGCAGCAGUGAGGAAUAUUGGACAAUGGAUGGAAAUCUGAUCCAGCCAUGCCGCGUGCAAGGAAGACGGCCCUAUGGGUUGUAAACUGCUUUUGUAUGGGAGCAAUAAGGGCUACGUGUAGUCCGAUGAGAGUACCAUACGAAUAAGCACCGGCUAACUCCGUGCCAGCCGCGGC